rnacentral:rRNA from 1 species
AUAACGACUCUCGGCAACGGAUAUCUCGGCUCUCGCAUCGAUGAAGAACGUAGCGAACUGCGAUACUUGGUGUGAAUUGCAGAAUCCCGUGAACCAUCGAGUCUUUGAACGCAAGUUGCGCCCGAAGCCUUUUGGCCAGGGCACGUUUGCGUGGGUGUCAC